rnacentral:tRNA from 1 species
AGCUUUAUAUUCAUAAAAAUGAUUUAAAAUUGCAAAUUUUAAGGAGUAAUAAAAUUACUAAGGCUU